rnacentral:rRNA from 1 species
UAGUGGCGAACGGGUGAGUAACACGUGGGCAAUCUGCCCUUCACUCUGGGACAAGCCCUGGAAACGGGGUCUAAUACCGGAUAACACUCCCGCACUCAUGUGCGGGGGUUAAAAGCUCCGGCGGUGAAGGAUGAGCCCGCGGCCUAUCAGCUUGUUGGUGAGGUAAUGGCUCACCAAGGCGACGACGGGUAGCCGGCCUGAGAGGGCGACCGGCCACACUGGGACUGAGACACGGCCCAGACUCCUACGGGAGGCAGCAGUGGGGAAUAUUGCACAAUGGGCGAAAGCCUGAUGCAGCGACGCCGCGUGAGGGAUGACGGCCUUCGGGUUGUAAACCUCUUUCAGCAGGGAAGAAGCGAAAGUGACGGUACCUGCAGAAGAAGCGCCGGCUAACUACGUGCCAG